AGGAGGAAGAAAGCACAUCUCCAGAGGGAAGGGAGGUGAAUUGCCCCAUUGGGGGGCAUUUGUAUGCAAGGGAGGGAGGAGGGAAAAAAGGAAAUGCAAUGGCUCUCCUCUGUCUGCUCUUGGUGCAUGCAGAGCCUCGGAGACGUCUCUCCAGCUCAGCCUAGCUCCCAAAUUAGUGCGAGAAAAGAGCUCAUGAUUUGAAGGAAGGAACGGAGGGGAGAGAAACCAAGGCAACGGGCUGGGCUUCCUGCACACACACACUUUGCUUCAGAUCCUCUCUCCCUCUUUAUUCCCCCUUUUUCACCCCCACGCACUCCCUCUUCCUCUUCCUCCUCUUCCUCCCGCUUUUACUUCUGACAGCCUUACAGCAACUUGCACUUCUGGCCUUUUUUUCUUUAAGAGGCUUUUUUUUUUAAGAGACUUUUCUUAAGUCCAGCCCCAUUCUGCCAGGCUGGAAGACACAAGCCAAGCCUUCCCAACACAGACCACCAGCUCCAGUUGUGCAAUUCUUCUGGGAAUUGUCUUUUUAAAGGAGGACAAUGACAAGGACAAGGAGGGACAUUGCACAAGUCGGGCCGAGUUACAUCCCAGCAGCUAUGGCACCUUUGUUCCUCUUUCAAUUUGUGAAUUGCAUCUGAUCCAUCUCUUCCUCUAUGACUCAACAACUUUGGCAUCGAUUGGGCUGACAAAAAAUCUCUGGGUUCUUGUUGCAUUGAAGCACUUGAUUCCAUGUACCAUACAUAUAUAAUAUUGUGAUUGCAAAGAGCUCAUUACCAAAUGCUGCUUUUUAAAAUAAAAAGAAGGGGAAGAUAUAUAUCUUCAAAUUUGAUUUGUCUAGAGUACUAGUGAAAAUCCCUGCGUUUUAAUAAAAAUUAAGAGCAUAUGUUUCAGAAUCCAGUCCUAAUUUGCAAUGAAUUGCUUCAGUAAAGCCACUUAUAUCAGUAUUGUUAAUCUUAAUAGGUUCAAGUGACCCAUGUUCUAAUAAUCCAGACCAUCAGUUGAGUGCAAAAUUCUUUUUCUAAUUAAAAACAUUUGAC
rnacentral:lncRNA from 11 species